ACUCAGGACACUGAGGCUGCAAUGAGCCAUGCUCAUACCACUGCACUAUAGCCCAGGCAACAGAGCAAGACCCAUUUCAAAAACAAAAAAAGCAAACAAAAAAUAUUUAUGAUAUAUCUGAAAAAUUUUGAGCACUGCAAUUGAAAAUUGAUGAUAUUCAGGAAAUGGCUGGAGUGCAGCAUUGCAAUCAUAGCUCACUGUAAACUUGAACUCCUGACCUCAAGCGAUCCUCCCACCUGGGUCUCCCGAAGUUCUAGGAUUACAGAUGAGAAAAUUGAGGCUUAGAAACUGUAAGGACUUACCCAAGGUCAUGGAGCAAGG